CGUAGGGGCGAGCGUUGUCCGGAAUCACUGGGCGUAAAGGGUUCGCAGGCGGUUUACCAAGUCCGAUGUGAAAGGCAUGGGCUCAACCCAUGUAAGCAUUGGAAACUGGUAGACUUGAGUUAAGGAGAGGUAAGUGGAAUUCCUAGUGUAGCGGUGAAAUGCGUAGAUAUUAGGAAGAAUACCGGUGGCGAAGGCGACUUACUGGACUUAAACUGACGCUGAGGAACGAAGCGUGGGGAGCAAACAGGAUU
rnacentral:rRNA from 1 species